rnacentral:rRNA from 1 species
AGCGUACACGGUGGAUGCCCUGGCAGUCAGAGGCGAUGAAGGACGUGCUAAUCUGCGAUAAGCGUCGGUAAGGUGAUAUGAACCGUUAUAACCGGCGAUUUCCGAAUGGGGAAACCCAGUGUGUUUCGACACACUAUCAUUAACUGAAUCCAUAGGUUAAUGAGGCGAACCGGGGGAACUGAAACAUCUAAGUACCCCGAGGAAAAGAAAUCAACCGAGAUUCCCCCAGUAGCGGCGAGCGAACGGGGAGCAGCCCAGAGCCUGAAUCAGUGUGUGUGUUAGUGGAAGCGUCUGGAAAGGCGCGCGAUACAGGGUGACAGCCCCGUACACAAAAAUGCACAUACUGUGAGCUCGAUGAGUAGGGCGGGACACGUGGUAUCCUGUCUGAAUAUGGGGGGACCAUCCUCCAAGGCUAAAUACUCCUGACUGACCGAUAGUGAACCAGUACCGUGAGGGAAAGGCGAAAAGAACCCCGGCGAGGGGAGUGAAAAAGAACCUGAAACCGUGUACGUACAAGCAGUGGGAGCACAGAGCAAUCUGUGUGACUGCGUACCUUUUGUAUAAUGGGUCAGCGACUUAUAUUCUGUAGCAAGGUUAACCGAAUAGGGGAGCCGAAGGGAAACCGAGUCUUAACUGGGCGUUAAGUUGCAGGGUAUAGACCCGAAACCCGGUGAUCUAGCCAUGGGCAGGUUGAAGGUUGGGUAACACUAACUGGAGGACCGAACCGACUAAUGUUGAAAAAUUAGCGGAUGACUUGUGGCUGGGGGUGAAAGGCCAAUCAAACCGGGAGAUAGCUGGUUCUCCCCGAAAGCUAUUUAGGUAGCGCCUCGUGAAUUCAUCUCCGGGGGUAGAGCACUGUUUCGGCAAGGGGGUCAUCCCGACUUACCAACCCGAUGCAAACUGCGAAUACCGGAGAAUGUUAUCACGGGAGACACACGGCGGGUGCUAACGUCCGUCGUGAAGAGGGAAACAACCCAGACCGCCAGCUAAGGUCCCAAAGUCAUGGUUAAGUGGGAAACGAUGUGGGAAGGCCCAGACAGCCAGGAUGUUGGCUUAGAAGCAGCCAUCAUUUAAAGAAAGCGUAAUAGCUCACUGGUCGAGUCGGCCUGCGCGGAAGAUGUAACGGGGCUAAACCAUGCACCGAAGCUGCGGCAGCGACACUAUGUGUUGUUGGGUAGGGGAGCGUUCUGUAAGCCUGUGAAGGUGGCCUGUGAGGGUUGCUGGAGGUAUCAGAAGUGCGAAUGCUGACAUAAGUAACGAUAAAGCGGGUGAAAAGCCCGCUCGCCGGAAGACCAAGGGUUCCUGUCCAACGUUAAUCGGGGCAGGGUGAGUCGACCCCUAAGGCGAGGCCGAAAGGCGUAGUCGAUGGGAAACAGGUUAAUAUUCCUGUACUUGGUGUUACUGCGAAGGGGGGACGGAGAAGGCUAUGUUGGCCGGGCGACGGUUGUCCCGGUUUAAGCGUGUAGGCUGGUUUUCCAGGCAAAUCCGGAAAACCAAGGCUGAGGCGUGAUGACGAGGCACUACGGUGCUGAAGCGACAAAUGCCCUGCUUCCAGGAAAAGCCUCUAAGCAUCAGGUAACAUCAAAUCGUACCCCAAACCGACACAGGUGGUCAGGUAGAGAAUACCAAGGCGCUUGAGAGAACUCGGGUGAAGGAACUAGGCAAAAUGGUGCCGUAACUUCGGGAGAAGGCACGCUGAUAUGUAGGUGAAGCGACUUGCUCGUGGAGCUGAAAUCAGUCGAAGAUACCAGCUGGCUGCAACUGUUUAUUAAAAACACAGCACUGUGCAAACACGAAAGUGGACGUAUACGGUGUGACGCCUGCCCGGUGCCGGAAGGUUAAUUGAUGGGGUUAGCGGUAACGCGAAGCUCUUGAUCGAAGCCCCGGUAAACGGCGGCCGUAACUAUAACGGUCCUAAGGUAGCGAAAUUCCUUGUCGGGUAAGUUCCGACCUGCACGAAUGGCGUAAUGAUGGCCAGGCUGUCUCCACCCGAGACUCAGUGAAAUUGAACUCGCUGUGAAGAUGCAGUGUACCCGCGGCAAGACGGAAAGACCCCGUGAACCUUUACUAUAGCUUGACACUGAACAUUGAGCCUUGAUGUGUAGGAUAGGUGGGAGGCUUUGAAGUGUGGACGCCAGUCUGCAUGGAGCCGACCUUGAAAUACCACCCUUUAAUGUUUGAUGUUCUAACGUUGGCCCGUAAUCCGGGUUGCGGACAGUGUCUGGUGGGUAGUUUGACUGGGGCGGUCUCCUCCUAAAGAGUAACGGAGGAGCACGAAGGUUGGCUAAUCCUGGUCGGACAUCAGGAGGUUAGUGCAAUGGCAUAAGCCAGCUUGACUGCGAGCGUGACGGCGCGAGCAGGUGCGAAAGCAGGUCAUAGUGAUCCGGUGGUUCUGAAUGGAAGGGCCAUCGCUCAACGGAUAAAAGGUACUCCGGGGAUAACAGGCUGAUACCGCCCAAGAGUUCAUAUCGACGGCGGUGUUUGGCACCUCGAUGUCGGCUCAUCACAUCCUGGGGCUGAAGUAGGUCCCAAGGGUAUGGCUGUUCGCCAUUUAAAGUGGUACGCGAGCUGGGUUUAGAACGUCGUGAGACAGUUCGGUCCCUAUCUGCCGUGGGCGCUGGAGAACUGAGGGGGGCUGCUCCUAGUACGAGAGGACCGGAGUGGACGCAUCACUGGUGUUCGGGUUGUCAUGCCAAUGGCACUGCCCGGUAGCUAAAUGCGGAAGAGAUAAGUGCUGAAAGCAUCUAAGCACGAAACUUGCCCCGAGAUGAGUUCUCCCUGACUCCUUGA